rnacentral:rRNA from 1 species
UACGUAGGGUGCGAGCGUUAAUCGGAAUUACUGGGCGUAAAGCGUGCGCAGGCGGCGCGUUAAGACAGGUGUGAAAGCCCCGAGCUUAACUUGGGAAUUGCGCUUGUGACUGGCGUGCUGGAGUGUGGCAGAGGGAGGUGGAAUUCCACGUGUAGCAGUGAAAUGCGUAGAGAUGUGGAGGAACACCGAUGGCGAAGGCAGCCUCCUGGGCCAGCACUGACGCUCAUGCACGAAAGCGUGGGGGGCAAACGGG